GCAAACUUGGUCAUUUAGAGGAAGUAAAAGUCGUAACAAGGUCUCCGUUGGUGAACCAGCGGAGGGAUCAUUACCGGGUCUCAACGACUACCCGAACCCAAAACAGUGCACUAAACACUUUUUCUGCUGCGGCGGGCCGCUCGCUGGGGGAGCCGCCGGGUCGUAAUGGCCGGUCCGCCGAAGCAACAAAAACCGUCUCCUAGGCAUGACGCUCCGAGACAAGCUCUGAGAGGCACUUGAAGCCUUUGCAAAGGCAUUUAGUUACAACCCACAACAAUGGAUCUCUUGGCUCCGGCAUCGAUGAAGAACGCAGC
rnacentral:misc_RNA from 1 species